UAGUCAUAUGCUUGUCUCAAAGAUUAACCCUUUCAUGUCUAAGUAUAAGCAAUCUAUACGGUGAAACUGCGAAUGGCUCAUUAAAUCAGUUAUCGUUUAUUUGAUAGUACCUUACUACUUGGAUAACCGUGGUAAUUCUAGAGCUAAUACAUGCUAAAAACCCCGACUUCGGAAGGGGUGUAUUUAUUAAAUAAAAAACCAAUGCCCUUCGGGGCUCCUUGGUGAUUCAUAAUAACUUAACAAAUCGCAUGGCCUUGUGCCGGCAAUGGUUCAUUCAAAUUUCUGCCCUAUCAACUUUCGAUUGUAAGGUAGUGGCUUACAAUGGUUUCAACGGGUAACGGGAAAUUAGGGUUCUAUUCCGGAGAGGGAGCCUGAGAAACGGCUACCACAUCCAAGGAAGGCAGCAGGCGCGCAAAUUACCCAAUCCCGACACGGAGAGGUAGUGACAAUAAAUACUGAUACAGGGCUCUUUUGGGUCUUGUAAUUGGAAUGAGUACAAUUUAAAUCCCUUAACGAGGAUCCAUU
rnacentral:rRNA from 1 species